rnacentral:rRNA from 1 species
AUACGUAGGUGGCAAGCGUUGUCCGGAAUUAUUGGGCGUAAAGCGCAUGUAGGCGGUUUGGUAAGUCGGUCGUGAAAAUGCGGUGCUUAACGCCGUAUGGCGAUUGAAACUGCUGAACUUGAGUGCAGGAGAGGAAAGGGGAACUCCCAGUGUAGCGGUGAAAUGCGUAGAUAUUGGGAAGAACACCGGUGGCGAAGGCGCCUUUCUGGACUGUGUCGGACGCUCAGAUGCGAAAGCCAGGGUAGCGAACGGGAUUAGAUCCCCCGUUAGUCCUGGCCGUAAACGAGGGGUACUAGGUGUGGGAGGUAUCGACUCCUUCCGUGCCGGAGUUAACGCAAUAAGUACCCCGCCUGGGGAGUACGGCCGCAAGGCUUAAACUCAAAUGAAUUGACGGGG